AUCUUAAUGUGCAUAUGUGCAAAAAUGUUUGCAUGUAUGUAUGUAUGUGCAUGUAUGUUUGUAUGUGCAUGUAU
rnacentral:miRNA from 12 species